GACGAACGCUGGCGGCGCGCCUAACACAUGCAAGUCGAACGGAGCUUAGAGAGCUUGCUUUUUAAGCUUAGUGGCGAACGGGUGAGUAACGCGUGAGUAACCUGCCCUAGAGUGGGGGACAACAGUUGGAAACGACUGCUAAUACCGCAUAAGCCCACGGUGCCGCAUGACACUGAGGGAAAAGGAUUUAUUCGCUUUAGGAUGGACUCGCGUCCAAUUAGCUAGUUGGUGAGGUAACGGCCCACCAAGGCGACGAUUGGUAGCCGGACUGAGAGGUUGAACGGCCACAUUGGGACUGAGACACGGCCCAGACUCCUACGGGAGGCAGCAGUGGGGGAUAUUGCACAAUGGGGGAAACCCUGAUGCAGCGACGCCGCGUGGAGGAAGAAGGUUUUCGGAUUGUAAACUCCUGUCGUUAGGGACGAUAAUGACGGUACCUAACAAGAAAGCACCGGCUAACUACGUGCCAGCAGCCGCGGUAAAACGUAGGGUGCAAGCGUUGUCCGGAAUUACUGGGUGUAAAGGGAGCGCAGGCGGGAAGACAAGUUGGAAGUGAAAACCAUGGGCUCAACCCAUGAAUUGCUUUCAAAACUGUUUUUCUUGAGUAGUGCAGAGGUAGAUGGAAUUCCCGGUGUAGCGGUGGAAUGCGUAGAUAUCGGGAGGAACACCAGUGGCGAAGGCGGUCUACUGGGCACCAACUGACGCUGAGGCUCGAAAGCAUGGGUAGCAAACAGGAUUAGAUACCCUGGUAGUCCAUGCCGUAAACGAUGAUUACUAGGGGUUGGGGGAUUGACCCCCCUCAGUGCCGCAGUUAACACAAAAAGUAAUCCACCUGGGGAGUACGACCGCAAGGUUGAAACUCAAAGGAAUUGACGGGGGCCCGCACAAGCAGUGGAGUAUGUGGUUUAAUUCGAAGCAACGCGAAGAACCUUACCAGGUCUUGACAUCCGAUGCAUAACACAGAGAUGUGUGAAAUCCUUCGGGACAUCGAGACAGGUGGUGCAUGGUUGUCGUCAGCUCGUGUCGUGAGAUGUUGGGUUAAGUCCCGCAACGAGCGCAACCCUUAUUGCCAGUUACUACGUUAAGAGGACUCUGGCGAGACUGCCGUUGACAAAACGGAGGAAGGUGGGGAGGACGUCAAAUCAUCAUGCCCUUUAUGACCUGGGCUACACACGUACUACAAUGGCGUUAAACAGAGAGAAGCAAGACCGCGAGGUGGAGCAAAACUCAAAAACAACGUCUCAGUUCAGAUUGCAGGCUGCAACUCGCCUGCAUGAAGUCGGAAUUGCUAGUAAUCGCGGAUCAGCAUGCCGCGGUGAAUACGAUCCCGGGCCUUGUACU
rnacentral:rRNA from 1 species